GGGGAAUUAGCUCAGUCGGUAGAGCACCUGUCUUGCAAGCAGGACGCAGGGGUUCGAUUCCCCUAUUCUCCA
rnacentral:tRNA from 1 species